rnacentral:rRNA from 1 species
UACGUAGGGUGCAAGCGUUGUCCGGAAUUAUUGGGCGUAAAGAGCUCGUAGGCGGUUUGUCGCGUCGGCUGUGAAAACUCGGGGCUCAACCCCGAGCCUGCAGUCGAUACGGGCAGACUAGAGUGCUGUAGGGGAGACUGGAAUUCCUGGUGUAGCGGUGAAAUGCGCAGAUAUCAGGAGGAACACCGGUGGCGAAGGCGGGUCUCUGGGCCGUAACUGACGCUGAGGCGCGAAAGCUAGGGGAGCAAACGGG